GCCUUCGUGGUGUAAUGGUCAGCACACUCAGCGCUUAACUGAGAGGUACGCGGUUCGAUUCCCGGCGAAGGCG